rnacentral:rRNA from 1 species
UAGAUACCCUGGUAGUCCACGCCGUAAACGAUGAUAACUAGCUGUCCGGGUUCAUGGAAUUUGGGUGGCGCAGCUAACGCAUUAAGUUAUCCGCCUGGGGAGUACGGUCGCAAGAUUAAAACUCAAAGGAAUUGACGGGGGCCUGCACAAGCGGUGGAGCAUGUGGUUUAAUUCGAAGCAACGCGCAGAACCUUACCAGCGUUUGACAUCCCGCGCUAUGACCAGAGAUGGUCAGUUCCUUCGGGGACGC